UACGUAGGGGGCAAGCGUUGUCCGGAUUUAUUGGGCGUAAAGGGCUCGUAGGCGGUCUGUCGCGUCGGGAGUGAAAACUUACAGCUUAACUGUGAGCGUGCUUCCGAUACGGGCAGACUUGAGGUAUUCAGGGGAGAACGGAAUUCCUGGUGUAGCGGUGAAAUGCGCAGAUAUCAGGAGGAACACCGGUGGCGAAGGCGGUUCUCUGGGAAUAUCCUGACGCUGAGGAGCGAAAGUGUGGGGAGCGAACAGG
rnacentral:rRNA from 1 species